rnacentral:lncRNA from 10 species
UUAGGUUUUGAAGCCUAAGAUACGUUUUAUAAUAAAUAGACUUAUUAAAACUAAUGUUUGCAAACAUUGCUAAACUUAACAAAUUGGCUAAGUUUCCCUUUGUUAACAAGCAAUCAGUUACGCUGAAGAAUUUGAAAAAUGCAAAUUAAAUUGUUUUUUGUUAUAUUCUGACACCCCAAAUUUAUUAUUUGGUCUUGAAGGUAAUUGAAAAUUAAAUUGGUUAUUUUGUCACAUAAGAUAAAGUAACCAAUAGUAGCAGUACUGGUACCAUGUAAAUGGAGACUACAAGAUUCUGGAUAAAAUACAAAUUGAAUUUUGGCAUUAAGAGAGGUAUUCAGGAUUGCUUAGUGAAUUGUGGUAUAUUGAGGUUUUUUAAAAAUGCUAGCAAGCAUCUAGCCAUUUAUGACUUAGUGAAUGAGACUAUGCAAUGAAAAUUUCUGCAUAAAAUACAGGCCCUACAGUUUGGUGUAUGAAAAUAAAUUUAUUAUUCCAAAAUAGCUCCUGACCUCUCUAAAUUGGAUGAUAGACUUUCCUAUAGAAAAUGUUGAAAAAGAAACAUUUUCUAAUUUUUUCAGUAAAAGUUUCCAUCUCAUCCCCAAAAGCUGUAAUUGAAAAAACAUGCUUAUUUUUUUCCUUGUGUCUUUUAAAGAACUACACAUAGAUUUUAGGGUCAGUGCUCAACUACAAAUUCUUGGCAAACAAAGCCUCACACUGUGUGACAUACCGACAACCCAUGUUGAGAGGCUCCUUACACCUCUUGAUGGGUGGGUGGAUGGAUGGAUGGAUGGAUGGAUGGAUGGGUGGAUGGGUGGAUGGGUGUAUGGGUGGAUGGAUGGAUAGAUCAAUAUAUCAAUUGACAGGCAGGCAGGCAGACACAUCCAGUUGGUUCCCUUUCUCUGGAAAACCCUGACUAAUACAGUAACCUAAUUUGUUUCUAUUUCAACUUGGUUCUCAGGUCCUGGCUCUAAAAAUCAAAUAAAUUAUAAACUAUUAGAUUGUUUGCUGU